AGCGAACGCUGGCGGCAGGCCUAACACAUGCCAGUCGAACGAACUCUUCGGAGUUAGUGGCGGACGGGUGAGUAACACGUGGGAACGUGCCUUUUGGUUCGGAAUAACUCAGGGAAACUUGUGCUAAUACCGAAUGUGCCCUUCGGGGGAAAGAUUUAUCGCCAUUAGAGCGGCCCGCGUCUGAUUAGCUAGUUGGUGAGGUAACGGCUCACCAAGGCGACGAUCAGUAGCUGGUCUGAGAGGAUGACCAGCCACACUGGGACUGAGACACGGCCCAGACUCCUACGGGAGGCAGCAGUGGGGAAUCUUGCGCAAUGGGCGAAAGCCUGACGCAGCCAUGCCGCGUGAAUGAUGAAGGUCUUAGGAUUGUAAAAUUCUUUCACCGGGGACGAUAAUGACGGUACCCGGAGAAGAAGCCCCGGCUAACUUCGUA
rnacentral:rRNA from 1 species